rnacentral:rRNA from 1 species
AUGGCUGCCUGCCCGCCGCGCGGCCUCUACCGCGACCGGAUCCGGACCGUCGCCGUGACCGGAGCACAGAUAAGAUCCACUCUCUCCUCCCACUCUCAGUCCGGUCAAAGCGGAUCCAGCUGCUCCGGCGAUUCCGGUGAUUCCGUUUCCUAUAACAACUCUGGCAGCCCCUCCCAUUCGCCGUCCGCCGUCGCAACGGAUUUCGGCGCCCACGGCCACGAGCUCGCCAUGGUCGCUCGCCAAAUGGUAAGCGACGGUUACACCCAGUGUAUUAUCCAAGCGUUCCAUGUCGCAUCUCCCGCACCAGCAUUUGGAUUCGGUGGCCCGGACCGUGCUCUGGAGGAUUGGUUCUUCGAGCUUGACGUGGACUGGGUUCUUCAAAUCCAUAGCGAGCAUGGCUUAUUUCAGCAGCUUCAGCUCCAAGACAAGUCGCCGGCAUGGCUCCGGCCGGCGUCAUGGCUCCAAGACUUGGUCGAGAGAUGGAUUCGAGCUCUUACCGUAACUGCCUUCAGUGUCCAAGCGAUGGUCAUCACCGCUCACCAGAUGCCGGCGGUCGCACGGUUUGUCAAAGCGAGCAUUGCCAAGAUGCUCAUUUUCGUCGAUGUUAUUGCCCGUGUUCUUAGGGUGGAGAAUUUACGGGCCGUGCUAGACAUGUUUGCUUGUGUCUCCAAUGCAUCAUACAUGUUUACGCCGGUCGUGAUCUCUCCGGAAGCCCAAAGCAUAUUCAGCGAGAUAGGCGGCUCGUUGGAGAGACAAGGAGACAGGCUAUAUGAGGUCCUAUCGAGCAUGAUGGAGGAGGUGAGGACACCCAUGGAGGAGGACGACACAUGGGCUAUUGAGAUUCUUCGAGGAGGAGGUGGGGUUCACAGAAACACUCGGUUGAUGGUAGAUUACAUCACAUCCAUGAGGGAAGCAUGUGCAUCGACGCAGAACUGUGCACCCAGCAACAACACCGUAAACCUUGGUGACCUGAUAGAUGACACGAUCGAGUAUCUGGAGGAUCUGCUUCUGAGAAAAUCAGAGCUAUGCUCGGAUCCAAGCCUGAGGUACAUUUUCCUGCUCAACAAUUCCCAUUUCGUAGCACAGGUUUCUGAGCCAUCGGUAUCGCUUUAUCUUGAGCAACGGUCUGAACUUAACCUUACACCUGAAUGUAAGAAGUUCAUGGAUAGCUAUCUUGAUGUUUCUUGGGGACAUGUCCUAUCCUGCAUACCCAAAUCGAGAUUUCCUGGACCAAUCCACUGUUGGAUUAACACCUCUUCACUAGCCAAAUUCGAGUCAGCAUUUCAAAAAACUUACCGGGCUCAGAAGUUCUGGAAGGUUCCGGACCCUCGGCUGAGAGAUGUGCUGCGGAGAGCUAUCGCCGAGAGAGUCAUUUCAGGUUACGGCGACUACCUGGAAGAGCAUCCAGAGCUAGAGAAACACAUUGGCCGCGAAAGCAGCAGUCCUGAGGUUUUCAAGAAGAUGUUGGGAGAGCUAUUUGAAGGAUGA